rnacentral:rRNA from 1 species
CAGUAGCCGCGGUAAUACGAAGGGUGCAAGCGUUACUCGGAAUUACUGGGCGUAAAGCGUGCGUAGGUGGUGGUUUAAGUCCGUUGUGAAAGCCUUGGGCUCAACCUGGGAAUUGCAGUGGAUACUGGGUCACUAGAGUGUGGUAGAGGAUAGUGGAAUUUCCGGUGUAGCAGUGAAAUGCGUAGAGAUCGGAAGGAACAUCUGUGGCGAAGGCGACUAUCUGGGCCAACACUGACACUGAGGCACGAAAGCGUGGGGAGCAAACAGGAUUAGAUACCCCCGUAGUCCCUGUCUCUUAUAA